CUUUGCACACGCGGGAGCUCGGAGCACCGGGCUGAGAGGGCGCUGAUCUCCGUACGCGCGAUGUUUCACGUGGAACAAGCGAUGUUCCGCGCGGAAUGCCGUCAGACGGAAACCGCUGCGUCGACCGCCGAACCUGUUACCGGGUAAUGCCGGCGUAGGGAGUAGGUCUCAUGACCAA
rnacentral:ncRNA from 1 species